AGAAAACAAACUGCCGAGAAAUCGGUGAGGGUGAAACGGCGAGGCAAGAGCUCACCGCGGCAUCGGUGACGGUGUCGGCACGGCAAACCCCACCCGGAGCAAGGCCAAGAAGACCGUGAGGUCGCGGACGUGUUCGAGGGCUGCCCGCCCGAGCGCCCGGGUAGGCCGCGCAGCUGCAAGGCUGGAGGACGUCGGCAACGGCGUUCACAGAUGGAUGAUCACCGGCCCCGAUGGGGUCACAGAACCCGGCUUACAAGGGUGGCUCGUCC
rnacentral:RNase_P_RNA from 1 species